rnacentral:lncRNA from 7 species
AUUAUACACAGCUCCGGAAGUAAUAAAGGGAGAAGACUUCUCCAAGUCCAGUGAUCUGUGGUCCUUAGGAUGUUUACUUUAUGAAAUGUUCUCAGGAAGACCACCAUUCUUCUCAGAGAACUUUUCAGAAUUAAUUGAAAAGAUUUUAUAUGAAGAUCCGCUGCCACCUAGGCCAAGGGUUCUGCUUCUCAGAAACCUUCUGCAGAGUUCAUUAGCUUACUUGAUGGAUUGCUUCAAAAGGAUCCUCAGAAGAGCUCAAUUGGACAGAUGUAUUGCAACAUCCAUUCUGGAAAGACUCCCUUAGCCAUUGUGAUGGUGAUUCUUCAGACAGCCAGGGCUCAAGCAAUGAAGACUUGGAGUCAUGGAAUACCAAGGGGCCAGAAGAUGCUUGUAAAAACCUAUCAUCUUCAAGAGCAGAUAGUAAGCUACUGAGCAAUUCUUUCAAAAUAGUAGAAAAUCCGACUGAAUUGCGCCCCAAAAAUGCAGUUGGUGAAUCAAAUGAAUCCAUAUUUCUUCUGAGUUCUCGUCCUACUCCUAGAACCAGCACUACAGUAGAAGUAACUGAUGUUACUAUUGCCCCAAUCCAAAAUUCUCCACAAAAGGAUUCAAGCAUGACAAGGGCUGAAAAUGUAUGCUCAAGUCAGCAGGAUAUGGAGUCAGCAUUGAAAGAGCUCAUUUACACUGAAUCUGAUCUUAUCGUAACACCAAUCAUUGACAAUCCAAAGAUAAUGAAGCAAGCUCCAGUUAGAUUUGACUCAAAAGCUUUACAUAUACCAGCCUAUUCAGCUGAGAAGUUGUCAUCUCUGAAAGAUCUGGACUGGAAUGACUUCUUGCAUCAAGCAUGUUCGUUGCUUGAUUCCACUGAGAAGAAUCCAGGAACAGCACGUUAUAAACUGAAUUUACUGUCUUACCUCUGUGCUGUGGCUGUCCACAAGGAAGUUGCAAGCAGGCUAAUUAACUCUCAGCUGUUUCCAGUGUUAAUACAGCAGCUGCGUGCUGCCACCAACUGGGAUAUACGUGCUAAAGUGGCUCGAGUGAUUGGUUUGCUCGCACUGCACACAUCUGAGCUUGGAGAAAAUGUACCUGUGUCUGAGCUGUGCCCCAAAGAAGAGUUUGACAGAACUGUUUUUGUCCUGUCACUUCCCUCUUCAGUCAAGCCACUCAUUCACUGGAUAUUUAAUUAGCUUUCACUGAAAUGUAGAGAAUCCCAGGAACAGUUGGAUCCAACACCUGCUUAAGCUAUCCCUUUUAAUGUUUUAACUAUGCAUCUUAGUGAGAGGAAAGUAGGCAAUGUGUUUGAGAUCUACAGAGAAUGCUGGUCUUUUCUUGCUUUUUCAUAUCCUAUUUUUAAAAUAUUUACUUGGAGUAAAUAUAACCGUAGUUUCUUUUCUGGCUAAUGGUAAUGCAGUUAUUGUGUACAGUGUACUUUCUCAGCCUGCUGAGGCUUAUUUUUUCCAAGGAAAUUGAGGUUUCCAUGGCAUUACUUGCAUAUGCUUCACUGUGCUCGUCUGCUUGCAGGAAAAAAAAGCUGAGGAGUAAUUUCCAUGAUGCUUGAGGCAUAGACAGUUUUUAAUCUCUGUAAGGGUUUGCAGAAUUACAAAUGUAACUUUUUACUUUCUGCUAAUGCAUUCAUACUAACAGAUUAAAGAUGUAGUAAUAUUACAAAUCUGAACAUUGCCACUUAAAUUGUAAUGUAUAAAAUACCACCUCUUUUUGAAUAUGCUAUAAUUUUACUUCUGGACUGAUAAGACUGCAGGGAAACUUCUAGAUGUAACUUGAAAUGGGUUGAGAAUCUGCUACAGAUAAUAUACCAACUCCACAUACUAUUGUUGUAAAUGAAGGUAAUGACUGUCUAUCCAGAUAUGAACCAAGCAUCUUUCUUCUCUUAUGAGAGCUAUGCUGCAUCCCUUUAGCUUGACAGCUAGUGUAAGAGGUCUAAGUACUAUACUAAAUUUAACAUGCUUUUAGCAGAUGUAAGAAUUGAAGAUCAUUACUACUUACAUCAUUGAAAUGGAAAGUGUAGAGAGGUUGAAAGGAAAGAAUGUGUUUUAGCUGAGAAAAGAAUUUUAUUUGUCAGACUGUGCAAUUAACAGAAAUUUGCUUUUUUUGUACUUUUUUUCUCCAGCUAAUAAACUUCAUUUGCC